UACGAAGGGGGCUAGCGUUGCUCGGAAUCACUGAGCGUAAAGGGUGCGUAGGCGGGUUUUUAAGUCAGGGGUGAAAUCCUGGAGCUCAACUCCAGAACUGCCUUUGAUACUGAAGGAUCUUGAGUUCCGGGAGAGGUGAGUGGAACUGCGAGUGUAGAGGUGAAAUUCGUAGAUAUUCGCAAGAACACCAGUGGCGAAGGCGGCUCACUGGCC
rnacentral:rRNA from 1 species